rnacentral:rRNA from 1 species
UGGGGAAUUUUGGACAAUGGGCGCAAGCCUGAUCCAGCCAUGCCGCGUGCGGGAAGAAGGCCUUCGGGUUGUAAAGCUCUGUCUUUUGGGACGAUAAUGACGGUACCAAAGGAGGAAGCCACGGCUAACUACGUGCCAGCAGCCGCGGUAAUACGUAGGGUGCGAGCGUUAAUCGGAAUUACUGGGCGUAAAGCGUGCGCAGGCGGUUAUGUAAGACAGAUGUGAAAUCCCCGGGCUCAACCUGGGAACUGCAUUUGUGACUGCAUAGCUGGGGCGCGGCAGAGGGGGAUGGAAUUCCGCGUGUAGCAGUGAAAUGCGUAGAUAUGCGGAGGAACACCGAUGGCGAAGGCAAUCCCCUGGGCCUGCACUGACGCUCAUGCACGAAAGCGUGGGGAGCAAACA